AUUGAACGCUGGCGGCAUGCUUUACACAUGCAAGUCGAACGGCAGCGCGGGCUUCGGCCUGGCGGCGAGUGGCGAACGGGUGAGUAAUGCAUCGGAACGUGCCCAGUAGUGGGGGAUAGCCCGGCGAAAGCCGGAUUAAUACCGCAUACGACCUGAGGGUGAAAGCGGGGGACCGAAAGGCCUCGCGCUAUUGGAGCGGCCGAUGUCGGAUUAGCUAGUUGGUGGGGUAAAGGCUUACCAAGGCGACGAUCCGUAGCUGGUCUGAGAGGACGACCAGCCACACUGGGACUGAGACACGGCCCAGACUCCUACGGGAGGCAGCAGUGGGGAAUUUUGGACAAGGGGGGCAACCCUGAUCCAGCCAUGCCGCGUGCGGGAAGAAGGCCUUCGGGUUGUAAACCGCUUUUGUUCGGGAAGAAAUCCUCUGGGCUAAUACCCCGGGGGGAGGACGGUACCGGAAGAAUAAGCACCGGCUAACUACGU
rnacentral:rRNA from 1 species